UGGAAUCCUUAAUAAGCCACAGAUGGAUAAUCAACAACAACAACAAAAAUCUGAAUUGGUUCCUAACCAAAGGAUUCAGUUCCUGGGACUGAUUAUAGAUGGUCAGUAUGAAGAUCUUUCUUCCAGAAGAAAAAAGAAAUCUCUCAUCAUUCAGAAAGUCCAUCAGAGAAGCAAUGAGUUUACUGGGCCUUUUCACAGCUUCCAUUCCAGGAGUGAAUUGGGCAAAGGCGAUCAAAGGAAUAUUCUAUCCCAGGGGUAGGCAACCUUUUAGCAGCACUGUGCCGUAAUAUGAUUGUGAUUUCCCAUAGCGUGUCGGUCCUAUUUCUUUAAAUUUAGGUGUGCAUGUUGCCAUAUUCUGCUUGUUAUUUAUACUGCAGUUGCUUUGUAU